CCUACGGGAGGCAGCAGUGGGGAAUAUUGCACAAUGGGCGAAAGCCUGAUGCAGCGACGCCGCGUGAGGGAUGACGGCCUUCGGGUUGUAAACCUCUUUCAGUAGGGAAGAAGCGAAAGUGACGGUACCUGCAGAAGAAGCGCCGGCUAACUACGUGCCAGCAGCCGCGGUAAUACGUAGGGCGCAAGCGUUAUCCGGAAUUAUUGGGCGUAAAGAGCUCGUAGGCGGUUUGUCGCGUCUGCCGUGAAAGUCCGGGGCUCAACUCCGGAUCUGCGGUGGGUACGGGCAGACUAGAGUGAUGUAGGGGAGACUGGAAUUCCUGGUGUAGCGGUGAAAUGCGCAGAUAUCAGGAGGAACACCGAUGGCGAAGGCAGGUCUCUGGGCAUUAACUGACGCUGAGGAGCGAAAGCAUGGGGAGCGAACAGGAUUAGAUACCCUGGUAGUCCAUGCCGUAAACGUUGGGCACUAGGUNUGGGGGACAUUCCACGUUUCGCGUCGUAGCUACGCAUUAGUGCCCCGCGUGGGGAGGACGGCCGCGAGACGUAAACUUAAAUAGAAGUAGACGGCGUGAGACGUGCCGACGACGACGACGAGGGAGGAGG
rnacentral:rRNA from 1 species